UCAGGACCUCUGGAAGAGCAGGCAGU
rnacentral:piRNA from 2 species